GCAUGCAGGCUAAGUAUAAAUGGUGGACGCACUCAGCACCUGUGGAAAGGGAAACAGAGCUAACACUUCCUAAUGAAGGCCGUGUGGCAGAACUGGGAAUUGGUAACUGAUGACGUCCUCCAGCAGUGCCUCAGACAGGAGCAGUAUGUUAGGUGAAACAUACGGCAAGGAGGCACUGUAUACUGGACAUAAUUCAAAUAGAUACCCGUGAGAUGGGAGUUCUCACUAAAGACAAGAUUGGUGGAGGAAUAUAACAAGUCAGGCAGCAUCUACAGAGAAGAAGAGUCUUUGGGCAUGCUAUUUUGGCGCCGAACAUGGGCAACACUUGUGAGUUGCCUCAGCAUAAUCUUCACAGAUUUGACUUGAUGUAGAUAAUACAUUUCACUGUACACAUGAUAAAUAAAGCUAGUCUUUAUUUUGCUUAUAAAUGUCCCACUAACAGAAACCAUACAAACAAGAAAAACAUUACCCAUUAAAAGCAGGAGGAACUCAGGAGUUCAGGCAGCAUCUAGAGAAGGAAAUGAACAGUCAUUGUUGAGGGCCGAGACGCUUCAUCAGGACCAACCUGACAAAGAGUCUCAGCUGCAGACGUUGACAGGUAAUUUCCCUCCAUUGAUGCCACCUGACCUGCUAUGUUCUUCCAGAAUUUUGUAUGUGUUGCUCAAGAUUUUCAUUAUCUGUUUGUUUCUCUGUAAAGAGGAAGAUUUCAGAUUUGGCCUUCACUUAAGACAUGAUGCAACUUGGAUCAUUCAUUGUUUUUGCUUGUGAGUUAAAAGAUUAUUGUUGAAAAUUAAGGAGUCACACAUUCGUGAGAGUUCAGAUGAUUUUUUCCCCAGAGAGUUGUGAGCCUUUGGAACUCUCUUCCUCAAAAGGCAGUACAGGCAGAGCCUUGGAAUAUUUUUGAAAUGGGGUAGAUAGAUUCUUGAUAAGGAAUGAUGUGAAAGGUUUUUGUGGUUGGACAGGAAUGGGGAGUUACAACUGGAUCAGCCAUGAUCUUAUUGCAUGAUGGAGCAGUUAUGGGAAAAUGAAGGGCCGACUUGAGCUCCUAAUUCAUAUUUUCCUUCACAGAUGCUGCAAAACCCACCCAGCUUCUCCAGCUUUUUGUGUGCUGCUCCAGAUUUGCAGCAUCUGUCGUCUCUUCUGUCUGUUAAUCUAUAUGUUUCUGUUUCCACCUGACCCAAAUAUUGAUGGCUGGUCACAUCUCCCUGGUUUCUAUUGAAGGCUGGGGAAUUUGUUUGAAUGGAAAUGUCUCUUUUUUUAACACUAGCAAGGAUGUAUUCCGUCUCCUGGGCAAGCACAGUUGGAAACUGGAUCAUCCCAUUUAAGGCCCCUGUGUAAAAAACUCUUGAUUGAUAAAUUACAACAAUAUUGCACACUGGCAGUUGAUGUUAAUCAUAGUCUUUUCACCAGUACUCGAUGCAAUUUAACUUAAAUUUGAAUAAACAGAGU